rnacentral:misc_RNA from 1 species
GUAGGUGAACCUGCGGAAGGAUCAUUAAUACGUAUCCAACGUUAAACCCCCCCUGUGCUAUAUCCAGGCGAGUUGGCAAGUGGAGGCUGCCAAGUGCAGCUUGCAUUGAAGACCACUGGGUACAGUAUUGGCAGUCGGGAUUGAGCUUGCAAUAGGCUUGGUUGCCCCAAGGUGCGUAUGUCUGACAGAGUCAACGUGCUGUAAGGAUAUCUUGGACAAGUAGUUUCUGAAAGCGAUACUAUUUGGAGAU